CCUGUAUUUAGAGCUGACCACUUGUGAUUGGAUCACCCGAGACGGAUGUUAAUACCAGGUGUAAACAGGGCCUAACUCUUGAGCUCAAAUGGUGUUAAAUUGAGGUGCCACCUUGGUAGGAUUUUGAACCAGAAAGAACCCUAUUUUCAUAGCCUAUUUAACUACAAAUGCUCAGAUAAUAUUAGGUUUGGUACUACUAUAAUUGAUUCUGCUUAAGAAUACGUACUUUAUUCAUCUUAUUUUGGAACGCGGAAGUAGACAGUUGGUCGAACUUCCGUUUUUGUGUGGCACUUCCGUUUGACCGCUUGAGCCAACUAAUGUUAGCUUAACUAACUAACGAUGUCUUGGGAGCACUUCCAGAAAACAUUAAAAAACGGAAAUGGCAGGUUGGUGCCACACCCUCACACUAUUAAUGAGUGGGAGGACGACAUGAAGAAGUGGCCUCAUAUAACAUACGAGGACAUUUUUAACUAUUUUGUGUUGUCUCUCGGGGUGGAUGGGUCUACGGUGCGCAACUACAAAAGCACAGAUGCUUAUCAAUACCUCCACAGUGGGAAAGUUGGAAAGGUAUUAAUUCACCAUAUCGAGGACCUGGUAUUUAUGAAAGCCGAUGUCCAGCCCAGUCAAAGUAAAGCUGGUGGUCACUCUGCCUGGGUCCUUACCACGUCAACAGGCACUAUUGAGACGGCCGAUGCUCUUGUGUCGCGGGUCAGGGGAAGUCCUGCAACCUCGCAGCGGUGAUCAUAUGGAAGAAUGUGAACCUUUUCCAGAUAAGUCUAAUCUCUUGUUCAUUGACACUGCUUGGGUAAAGGUAAGGAAGGUAAGUAAGGUCAUGCAUUUCUAUUUCCAUCUGACAUAUGUAGAUUUCCAACCUUCAUCAGCAAUUUGUGAAUAAUAAUAAUAAUAAUGACUCAUUCGGACCACAUAAGUAUUUGGCCUUGGUUGUAUUCAUCAACCACUGCCAACUGCCAAGUAUGCCAGUCUAAUCUCGAAUGACAGUUUGGGGUAAGUACAUCAACAAGGUAAGUUUAAAAAGAAAGUUGUCAAUAUAAACAGAACUGUCCAUUUUUUCUAUCUAAGCAUUGUGACAACAAGGAUUGUAAUACCUUAAAAAAAAGCAUGACUGUUCUUUUUUAAACUUUGUUAAAGGUGCAGUUUGCUGUGUCUAAAGGUCUGACUGGAUUGUCCUGCACGGAUGAGCAGCGCCACUGGAACUCAGGGACACAGCGCAAUUUAGUCCCAAAAAGGCUGAGUAAUAUAUGUUUCAAGCACCACAAGGCAAGUGCUUACAUCUCUGACAACGUUCUGCCCAUUUCUCCAUCUCUACCGCCAACCCCUGCCUACAGCUCACAUGAAGCACUGAAGAUGAGCUUGGGAGUGGCCCAUGUUCCAGUGGGCAGCCUUCUGCACAAAUGCAUCUCUGCUGAACCAGACCUAAUUCCAGCCGCGCCCACACAGCUCCAGCAGCCUCAUAGUGUACAUGGCACUGACAUGCAGUGCCAGAAAUGCAUGUCAUUGUACAAUAUGUAUGUGAAACUAGAUGAGGAUAAAUGUGCCGGCUUGGAGGAGGUCACGCCUCCCACUUGUGGUUUGAUGCACGAAAAUUGAGAGUAACGUCUAGCUCUGCAAAAAAGGUCCCUGUGCGUGCAUCUACUAACCCAGACAAUUUUGUUAGAGAGCACCUUUUCCCUAGGUUUCAUGGGAACUCUGCAACCAGGUAUGGCCAGGAGAAUGAGGAGGUGGCCUGUGCAUGGAUGGAGAGCAGUGGGUUUACGGUUGAGAAGAGAGGCACAGUAGUUAGUGUCACCGAACCAUGGCUUUCUGCAAGCCCAGAUGGAGUGUUAAACUCCACAGAGCUGCUGGAGAUUAAAUGUCCUGUUUUGAGCAAGAACUAUACAUCUCUGACUGAACUGUUCUCCAGCAAGCUCACAGAUGUGAGGCUGGUGGAUGGGAUUCCACAGCUGCAACCAUAUGGAUCCCGUGGUUACUACCCUAAAGUCCAACUAGGUACAAAACUAGGUUUUGUACAGGACUAGAGAAAUGCAAGCUGCUUGUCUGGGCUCCAUCUGAGAGAGAGUCAUCAUUGAUGUGCCAUUUGAUUUGAGUUUUUGCUCACAAGUCCUACCUAAACUCAAGUCCUUCUAUUUUUCUCAAAUGCUGCUAAGGAUUGUAGAUGAGUUCCUGUCAGGCAGACUCACUCUGUGCCAUAAAUAUGUACAUCUGUGUAAAUAGGCUCAGGUUCUAGUCUUAACCCUUACAUACUGUUCAUAUUCUGGCCCUUCACAGUAUCCCUUCAUUAGUUUCUAUACCAAAUUUCUCAACAAAUCCAUUUUUCAUUCAUAAAUACACUAAUAAUAAAUGUCAUAAAUAAAUAGAUAGAUAAAUAAGUCAUUAAUAAAUGGGUGAUAAACCCUUAAUUGUAAAAGCUUUCAGAGAGCAGAGAAAGUAUUCUUUAGGUUUUGCUAUUUGUUUAUAGAGAGAAAACAUUCACAGUCACACUAUAUUAUGGUCCUGUCUUACCUUGAACAGCCAUAAUGAUUUUGAAUAUGAAUAAAGCAAAAACAUUUUUGGUAUGGUAUUUUUUUUGGGUCAACUUUAACCCAUAACACUAAUCUACAUAGAAAAAAAGAGUAUCAGCUGCACAAAACAUAUAAGUUGAAAUAUUACCGUUUCUGUAUAUUCUGGUUCACUUAGGGAAAAGUCAUAAAAUUAUCAGGCUAAAAGAACACUGUGUUCAGGUGGUUUUUACUGUUCUCAAAUGUAAAAACAGGUCAACCCAAACAGUAUGUAAAGGUUAAACCUGCUGUAUAGGACUCUCCACCUUCGGACAAAUAGUCUCCCUCUAUGGUUAAUUGUCAGUCAUUGUCAUCGUUGGAAUGUCAGACAACAGCUUUCCGGUGUCUGUAAUAUCGUGUACUGUUAACUUGAUUAACUGUAAGCUGACCCUACAUAAUGCUAGUUCCUUUUUUUUUAUUGCUUGCACUUCAGUUGUAUACAUUAAGUGGUGUUUUACAUUUAAUGGUAAUUGUGAACUUCUACAUAUAACUUCCAUGGCUUAAAUGAAUGCCAUAUGAAUUAAAUGUUUUAAUUUAGUGAUGUUUUACCAUUUAAUAGUGAAUAAUUGUAAUCACUUUCUAUGUAAACAAAUUCCAUGAGUUUAAUAAAUUUCAUGAGUGAAAUAUA